CUCAUUGACGUUACCCGCAGAAGAAGCACCGGCUAACUCCGUGCCAGCAGCCGCGGUAAUACGGAGGGUGCAAGCGUUAAUCGGAAUUACUGGGCGUAAAGCGCACGCAGGCGGUUUGUUAAGUCAGAUGUGAAAUCCCCGGGCUCAACCUGGGAACUGCAUCUGAUACUGGCAAGCUUGAGUCUCGUAGAGGGGGGUAGAAUUCCAGGUGUAGCGGUGAAAUGCGUAGAGAUCUGGAGGAAUACCGGUGGCGAAGGCGGCCCCCUGGACGAAGACUGACGCUCAGGUGCGAAAGCGUGGGGAGCAAACAGGAUU
rnacentral:rRNA from 2 species